rnacentral:rRNA from 1 species
GAUGAACGCUGGCGGCGUGCCUAAUACAUGCAAGUCGAGCGAACGGACGAGAAGCUUGCCUUUCUGAUGUUAGCGGCGGACGGGUGAGUAACACGUGGAUAACCUACCUAUAAGACUGGGAUAACUUCGGGAAACCGGAGCUAAUACCGGAUAAUAUUUUGAACCGCAUGGUUCAAAAGUGAAAGACGGUCUUGCUGUCACUUAUAGAUGGAUCCGCGCUGCAUUAGCUAGUUGGUAAGGUAACGGCUUACCAAGGCAACGAUGCAUAGCCGACCUGAGAGGGAGAUCGGCCACACUGGAACUGAGACACGGUCCAGACUCCUACGGGAGGCAGCAGUAGGGAAUCUUCCGCAAUGGGCGAAAGCCUGACGGAGCAACGCCGCGUGAGUGAUGAAGGUCUUCGGAUCGUAAAACUCUGUUAUUAGGGAAGAACAUAUGUGUAAGUAACUGUGCACAUCUUGACGGUACCUAAUCAGAAAGCCACGGCUAACUACGUG